rnacentral:rRNA from 1 species
GAUGAACGCUGGCGGCGUGCCUAAUACAUGCAAGUCGAGCGAACAGACGAGGAGCUUGCUCCUCUGACGUUAGCGGCGGACGGGUGAGUAACACGUGGAUAACCUACCUAUAAGACUGGGAUAACUUCGGGAAACCGGAGCUAAUACCGGAUAAUAUAUUGAACCGCAUGGUUCAAUAGUGAAAGACGGUUUUGCUGUCACUUAUAGAUGGAUCCGCGCCGCAUUAGCUAGUUGGUAAGGUAACGGCUUACCAAGGCAACGAUGCGUAGCCGACCUGAGAGGGUGAUCGGCCACACUGGAACUGAGACACGGUCCAGACUCCUACGGGAGGCAGCAGUAGGGAAUCUUCCGCGAUGGGCGAAAGCCUGACGGAGCAACGCCGCGUGAGUGAUGAAGGUCUUCGGAUCGUAAAACUCUGUUAUGGGAAGAACAAAUGUGUAAGUAACUAUGCACGUCUUGACGGUACCUAAUCAGAAAGCCACGGCUAACUACGUG